GGAGAGUUGGCGAAAUCGGUAGCCGCGUUGGACUUAAGUUCCAAUGGUCAACAGACCUUGUGGGUUCAAGUCCCACACUCUUCA